GAUUAAGAACGCAGCGAAAUGCGAUACGUAGUGUGAAUUGCAGAAUUCAGUGAAUCAUCGAAUCUUUGAACGCACAUUGCACCUCUCGGUAUUCCGGGAGGUAUGCCUGUUCGAGCGUCAUUUGUACCCUCAAGCUCUGCUUGGUGUUGGGUGUUUGUUCCGCCUCUGUGUGUGAACUCGCCUCAAAACAAUUGGCAGCCGGCGUACUUGUUUCGGAGCGCAGCACAUUUUGCGAUCCAGAUCAACGUACAGCGGCAUCCAAGAAGUCUUAUUUAACGCUCUUGACCUCGGAUCAGGUAGGGAUACCCGCUGAACUUAAGCAUAUCAAUAAGCGGAGGA
rnacentral:misc_RNA from 1 species